GGCCCAGAAAGCCCGUGGGGUUGGGCAGGACACUGCUGGCCCAAAGGAUGCUUGGAAGGGCUCCUUCCCAUCCCUCCAAACCCCUGUGCAAUUUUGCUGGAUUUACAGGAUCUUGUUCUCUGCUGUCCAGGGAGCUUUGGGUUUCUGAUCCAGCCGAAUGGAGCCCUCUCAGCUCCU